CCUGAUGGUCAUAAUGCUGUGGACCCACCUGAUUCCAUUCCGAACUCAGAAGUGAAACGCAGAGAUGCCGAUGGUAGUGUGGGG
rnacentral:rRNA from 1 species